UCGUCACACUAUCAUUAACUGAAUCCAUAGGUUAAUGAGGCGAACCGGGGGAACUGAAACAUCUAAGUACCCCGAGGAAAAGAAAUCAACCGAGAUUCCCCCAGUAGCGGCGAGCGAACGGGGAGGAGCCCAGAGCCUGAAUCAGCAUGUGUGUUAGUGGAAGCGUCUGGAAAGGCGCGCGAUACAGGGUGACAGCCCCGUACACAAAAGCGCAUGUGCUGUGAGCUCGAUGAGUAGGGCGGGACACGUGGUAUCCUGUCUGAAUAUGGGGGGACCAUCCUCCAAGGCUAAAUACUCCUGACUGACCGAUAGUGAACCAGUACCGUGAGGGAAAGGCGAAAAGAACCCCGGCGAGGGGAGUGAAAAAGAACCUGAAACCGUGUACGUACAAGCAGUGGGAGCACCCUUUGGGUGUGACUGCGUACCUUUUGUAUAAUGGGUCAGCGACUUAUAUUCUGUAGCAAGGUUAACCGAAUAGGGGAGCCGGAGGGAAACCGAGUCU
rnacentral:rRNA from 1 species